AGAAUCAACGCUGGCGGCGUGCCUAACACAUGCAAGUCGAACGAGAAAGUGGAGCAAUCCAUGAGUAAAGUGGCGCACGGGUGAGUAACACGUGACUAACCUACCCUUGAGUGGGGGAUAACCUAGAGAAAUCUGGGCUAAUACCGCAUAAUACCUUCGGGUCAAAGGAGCAAUUCGCUUAAGGAGGGGGUCGCGGCCGAUUAGUUAGUUGGCGGGGUAAUGGCCCACCAAGACUGUGAUCGGUAUCCGGCCUGAGAGGGCGCACGGACACACUGGAACUGAAACACGGUCCAGACUCCUACGGGAGGCAGCAGUGGGGAAUUUUGCGCAAUGGGGGAAACCCUGACGCAGCAACGCCGCGUGGAGGAUGAAGCCCCGUUGGGGCGUAAACUCCUUUCGAUCGGGAAGAUAAUGACGGUACCGAGAGAAGAGCCCGGCUAACUUCGCGCCAGCAGCCGC
rnacentral:rRNA from 1 species